AUAAAUUGGAUUAUGUUCAGUAUUGUUUUUGUGAUAUUUAUAAUUAAAAAAAAUGGCUUGUACAAUGACCCAAACAUUGAACGAAAAUUUGUUUUCUAUUUUAUGACCGGUAUGUGAUAUAUGAGGGAAGUCCACAAAGUAGUCAAGUAUCGAUGGAUACAUCUACAAGUGGGUCAUCUUCUACAAGUCAAGUUAGUUCCAGUUGUACUGCAUCUUCUACUCGUAUUUCCAAGUUUAAGGAACAAGCAGUAAAAGAUUCAAUUGAGAUAAAAAAAUGACUUGGAAAGAUAUUUAUUGGAUACUUGUGAAGAUAUAGAGAAGGAGGAGUUUGAUGUCCUUCAUUGGUGGAAGGUACAUAGAAGUAAGUAUAAAACAUUGUCCAAACUUGCAAAAGAUGUGUUGGCAAUUCAAGUGUCUACGGUGGCUUCAGAAAGUGCUUUCAAUAUGGGGGGAAGAAUUCUAGACCCAUUUCGUAGUUCUUUAACUGCUAAGAUGGUCGAGAUUUUAGUUUGCACUCAAAAUUGGCUCAAAUCUACUCCAAGCGAAGACAAAUUUUACAUGGAGGAUGUAGAGUAUUAUAAUAAAUAGGAUGAAGGUAAUUAUUAAUUAACUAUUUCAUUAAGUGUGUUAUUUACACGUGUUUCAAAUUCAUUUACUACUAAUUGAAUCAUUUUAUUUUUUAGAUCUUUCGGAAGUAUCGAAAAUGGAUGAAGAUUCCAACAUCAAAGAUAAAUAAGUCAUUUUAUGUGUUUGCGUAAGGUGAAGGUGAUUCAAAAUGAUGGCCGUGCUUGGUAGACAACUUUUGGAACUUCGAUUUCACUUUCCUGGACAUUUUUUUUUCCUUGAGUCUAUACAUUAGAUGUUAACAAAAUUUAUUUUUUGUGCUUGAGUUUCUUUCUUCUAAUGUAAAAUUUAUUUUCUUACUCUUGACUUUGGGUUAUAUUGGGAUGGAAAAAAGCUUGAUGAAGAUUCGGUUUUGUUAUGGUUAUGUGUUGGUUAUUGACUAUGUCAAUGUGAGUGGUUAAAUUGAAUGCCAUAUAUUAUUUUU